UGGAAUAGAAUGUCUGAGUGAAUUGGGAACAAUCACACCCAUCACCGUGUUGCUUCUCUGUUGUGGGCACGGGCUGGCUCAGGGAACCCACGGUGCCCAGGGCAGAACCAAAACUGGCAUGCAGGAAAAGUCUUCUGACACAAAUAAGAAAUGGCUUCAAGUGGAGUAUUCCUGCCACGUCGACUAAACACCUUCUCUCUGGAGCCAGGGAGCCUGGCACACCCAGCUGGCCCAGCUUACAAGCUUUUGGGACCACAGAAAGAAGAAAGACAGAGAACUCAGCAAGUCUUUCACAUGCCAGAUGAGGAUCCGGAUGCAGCUCUCAGCUACUGCUCCAGAGCAGUGAGGUCCUAUCACGCUCCCUGGUGUGAUGCUAAUGGACUGGCCCUCUGAAACUAGCACAUCUUGCAUCUAUCUGCCGUUGGCCUUCAUGCUGUUGGUGACUCAGGGCAG